CCAUUUUUCCCCAUUUUUUUUCAAUUUUUACCCUUUUUUCAGUUUUUCCCCAUUUUUUCUCAAAUUUUUUCCCAUUUCUUUUCCAUUUUUUCCCAAUUUUUUCUCAAAUUUUUUCUCAAUUUUUUUUCCUUUUCUUGGGAAUUUUUUUUCCCGAUUUUUUCCCUUUUUUCCCCAUUUUUCCUUCUCCUCCUUUCCCGUUUUUCCCCCCCUUUCCUCGUAGCCCUUUUAGAAUUCGUGGUGGUUUUUUGUUGUUUUUUUUUUUUCCAGUUUUUUGGGUUUUCCUACAAAAAAAAAACAGAANAGAGUUGGAAUUAAAGAGGGAAAAUCCAUGGAGGAAACGACCGGAAAUGGGAAAAUUCCAGGAAAAACCUUGGAAAAAUUCCAGGAAAAACUUCGGAAAAAUUUCAGGAAAAAUCUUGGAAAAAUUCUGGGAAAAAUUCCAGGAAAAAACUUGGGGAAAAUUCCGGAAAAAAACUUGGAAAAACCUUGGAAAGAUUCUGGAAAAAAACUCAGAAAAAUUCCAAGAAAAACCUUUGGAAAAUGAGGAAUUUUGGGAACGAAGAAAAGAAAAAAAUUCCUGGAAAAAAUAAAAACGAGAAGAAAUAAAAAAUCCUGGAAAAAUUUUGGGGAAAAAAAA
ensembl:lncRNA